rnacentral:lncRNA from 1 species
AUGCCUACUGACCUUUCGGGAACAAUUAGAGAUAGAACACUAAGACCAAUGCAUACUGGACCAGUGGGAAAAUUAAGACUUAAGAAAAUGAUGGAGAAAAUGGCAAUAAAAGUGGGUUCCAUGUCCAUUUUGCCAGAAGUUUUAACAGCUCUGCACUCUAUCCAUUGCACCAUCUAGUGACCCAGUUGAGAAUAGGAAAAAGGCCUCGGGAUAGCACUUUGAGAUGUCUGCAUUUAUCAAUGGAAUGAUCAAUUGAGGAUGGCUAAAUGAGUUGUAACACAUAGUUGUGAUGGAAUGCUACUGUGUCGUAAGAAAUAACACAGAUUAAUUUUGGAAAGAUCUACAUGAAAUUGUGAAGAGUGAAAUGAGCAGAACCAAGAGAGCAUAAUAUACAGCAACAGAAACAUUUUUUAAGAAUGACUUGUGUAUGUCCAUCCUCAGAGAAAGAGCAAUAAGUAGAAAUCAGUAUGAAAUUGUUAUAUAUAUAUAUAUACAUAUAGAUAGAUAGAUAGAUAGAUAGAUAGAUAGAUAGAUAGAUAGAUAGAUAGAUAGAUAGAUUAUGCCUUCUCUAGUAAGAGGAGGGAGAAGUUUAACUGGGUAUUUUAAUGUAACAAAUUAACUAAUUAGUUAAUUUUAAAAAUUAAAGGUGUGACAAGGAUGUUCAGCAAGAGAGUGAGGAGUAGUCAGUUAGAUAGGAGAACCAGGAGAAUCAAUGUCAAGAAAACCCAGAAAUGAAAGAGAAUCUGGGAGGAAUAGGUGGCCAGCAGUGUCAAAUGCUUCAGAGAAGUCAAAAAGGAUAUGGAUUGAGAAAAGGAUAUUGACUAAUACUCAGAAACCAGGGUGCAAAAGACUGAGAAAUGAGUUAGAAAACAGGAAGCAUAGGCAAUGAAUCCAAAUAACUUUUUCUAGUUUGGCUGAGAAAUGGAGAAUUAUAGGAUGAUAAAUUGAAGGGAUGGUAGUAUCUACUGAGGAUUUUUUUAAAGAUGAGGGUGAUUUGGGCAUGUUUAUGGCCAUCAGGAAAGGACUGAGGGGAUAUGGAGAAAUUUAAGGUGGGGUGGUGGUGGUGGUGGUGGUGGUGGUUUGGUUGUGGGACAAUCUGUGUUCAUUUAGGGGAGGAAAAAGAGCUUCCCCUUCAUCAGAGAAUAAAUAAAAGAAGGAAUAAAGGAGAGAAGGGGAG